rnacentral:rRNA from 1 species
ACUACGGGAGGCAGCAGUGAGGAAUAUUGGUCAAUGGGCGCGAGCCUGAACCAGCCAAGUAGCGUGAAGGAUGAAUGCCCUACGGGUUGUAAACUUCUUUUAUAAAGGAAUAAAGUGAGGCACGUGGGCCUUUUUGUAUGUACUUUAUGAAUAAGGAUCGGAUAACUCCGUGCCAGCAGCCGCGGUAAUACGGAGGAUCCGAGCGUUAUCCGGAUUUAUUGGGUUUAAAGGGAGCGUAGAUGGGUUGUUAAGUCAGUUGUGAAAGUGUGCGGCUCAACCGUAAAAUUGCAAUUGAUACUGGCAGUCUUGAGUACAGUUGCGGUAGGCGGAAUUCGUGUUGUAGCGGU